CUCAUUUAAGGGUUGGCAGUGGAAGUGAGGGCCUCUCCCUGGAGCUCCCUGUGUCCCUGAGGCCUUCUGAAGGCCAUCAUGUGGGUACCCAACGAGGGGCAGCUGGAGGGAUGCACGCGGGGACCCUGGAGGAUGCGCACAGGUUGUGAGUGCUGGGAGAAGCCCUGUGCAGGGGGGGCAGAGAGCUCAGGCUGCAGGGUUUAUCGGAAGGACAGCGGAGGUGACUUGAUUGCCAUGUGUAAGUACCUUCCUGGGAGCAAACACAGCUGCUGAAGUAUCUUUAAUCUAGUGAAGGAAGACAUAACAAGAGCCUGGAGUUUGAUCGUGUCUGGCUGCUGCUUCCCACUGGAAAAAUAAGGCACGUGCUUCUCGCAGCCAGGCUGGUUAACACAGGGUCAGCAAAGAGAUGCAUUUUGUAUUUUAAUGGCUUCGAAUCUACACCAGGGACCAUUGCUGGGGGCAGAGCCACCCAGUACCCCCCCUGCUUCCUGUGGAAGGGUGGUAUAAGGAGGUGGGUGAUGCAUAAAGCAGCUGGAGCAAGUUAUUUCGUGGAGCAAGCCUUUUUGUGGCUUCGGUGCCACUACAUUUGCCUCUCCUAAAAGCUCUGCACUGCAGAGUGCAUAAAAAUCCCUCCCUUGCGCUCACCACGUCAGUUUGCUCACAUCCUUCCAACCCCAACCACCCCAUAGGGCUGCCAACCUGCUCCUGCCCUGCAGCAAUCUGUACAACCACUGGGACAGAGGGAUGCAAUGCACUCAGAGCUCCGGGCCGCCGUGUUGUGUCAUGCAUGAGUUUCUCUGUAAGAGCUGGAUGCGUUUGUUGCAAUGUACUCACAGACGUGCUGCAGCACCAGUGGUGUUCCCUUGCAUGCUGACAUCUUUUUGGGACCCCUGGGGCUGAUUUGUUUGCGGGUGUUGCUUUCUGUGCCAACAAACUUGCUCGUAACGCAUACAACAAGACAUCAGAGCUGAGAGUUGGAUUUUUCCCUUGCUUGCAGCAUUUGUUUUCCAUUCAAGAUUGGAAAGAAGAAACAGAGGGAGAAGAAACAAACCCAAGCUGACCAAGUGACUUGGAAAGAAGCCAGCCAAGGGGAGCCCCCAUUUGCUUUUGUUUGCAGAGAACCCAGGGCAAAGCCCCGCUCCAGCUGGGGCAUGUCACCAGCUCCUAAAUCCCUGCCCUCAGCUUCAUUAGCAAGCAGUAGAGAGCAGAACUGCUCACCUGGGCUGGCAGAGGAAUGCAAUCAUGCAUGAGUGCCAUGAUAUCGUAGCAUCAUAAUGCAGAAGUACAACGAUGCAGCACUUCCCCUGCAUGGGGCUUUCCAGGAGCAGGGGCAGCAGAUGCCAUAAAUCGUUCAGCAAAAGGACAGGGAAGCGCCAUAGGAGCCGUUACCUCCUCAGAAGUCAAACAGCACAGAUUAGAAUGGAAACGACUCGGGUGUUUUCGCAGGGCUGGGCAGGGAUUGUUCAAGGCUCAGCAGUUCUCUGAGCUCCGUCUCCAGGUCAUUGAUUUAUUUGCUUCUUUGCCACUUGCAUUGCGUGCUGUGCUGAGGGAGGCUGUGAGGGCUCUGGGGCUGCACCUGGGGGCAAUUUGGGGUGCAGGGAAGGUCCCACAGGGCUGAGAAACCGUAGCUUGAUGGAGCACGGGGCUGAGCCAAGCAGCGCAAAGCAAUGGCCACACACCGCUGUUGCUUUCCUGCUGAUCCCUGUGCACGUAGGGGGACAAAUGUGCCCAGAUCCUCCCCGAGCGGUCCCAGGGAGGAUGGCAUGGUGUAUAUAAAGACAUACAGAAGAGCAGUGGUUGGCUGCAGGAGCUCAGCAAUUAGAGGUGAUGCUGUUGGGUUUGGCACUGAACUCGGAGAUGCAGUGAAGAUGCUGUGAUGCACCCGGUGCCACUCUGACGUUUGGUUUUUAGGCUUUUUAGCAGCUGGGAUGGAUUGAAGCUGUAGAGCAAAGUGUGCUUUUCUGUCCUACCUGCACCAGGGCCUUGUUGUCAUCAUGCAAAAACAACCAUUCAUACAGCAACAGCCAACUACUGGGGAGCAGUGAGCUGUGCAAGGUGUUGUGCAAGGUCCAGCUUCCAUGUAGGGAGGAAACAAAGAGCAUCUCCUGCUCCCCACUUAAUGCAUCUCAGGGGGGACCUGGCAGUGCCUUACUCUGCUCUGCAACCUCCUGAGCAGGGCCAAAAGCAGAGCCUCCUUCCCAAACCCUGCAGUCCUUUGUAGGGAUGUGUGGCACUGAGCUGUGCGCUGAGCGCACUUUUCUCUUUAUAUUACCCAAAGGAAUGAACUGCUAUUAUGAAAUCAUUAAAUUAAUAACUUGGUAAUAUAGGCAGAUAUAUAAAACAAUCUGUUCCUAGAACAAAAGGAAUUUCCACGUCCCAAACAUCCAUAAUUUAAUUUAACAGCGAAUUAAAGCGCUGUACAUAAUUCCCCCCCCCUCCAAAAGUCAAUAGUGCUGUGCCAAUAGAGCCCUGCGUGUGCUGGGGGUGGGAAGGGGCUGUGCAAUGGCACUGGGAUGGGUAGAAUUGCUCCAAAUGGGACUUUAGGGAGAGCUGCACCCUUCAGUGCUGCUUUUCUACCCCAUUCUUCACCCAUCCUGAAGGGCAGAGGAACCCAACGCAGCACUUAAACCAGCCCAGCUCCCAUCUCCCUCCUCCUUCCAUUUCCAUUUACUUUACCCAAUAUUUUUGUCCCCCUUUUGUUUGAAAUUAAUUUGUUAUAAUUUACGGGAGCGUAUUUUGAUUGCUUUUGAUUAAGUUUAACAAGCAGGGGAAAAAAAAAAGCCUCCCGCAUUAAACAUCAAAGCAAACAAAUCCGUUUUCGAGGCCCGCUCGUGCAUAAUUAAUAAAUGCUGUCACUCCUCGUACAGUAAAUAUAUCUAUUAUGCUACAAUAAAUGGUGUUGGUGUAAUUAAUACACGCAACCAAAGUAUGCUCUGAUGAAGAUCUGGGUGUAGAUGCGCCUGUUUGUACAACACCCACAACUCAGAGCGGUUGUCAAGCGUUGGUAAAGGGGGGGGGAAGUUGCUUUUUGGAGAGGGAAGUUUGCUGUCAGAGCUGG
rnacentral:lncRNA from 1 species